UACGUAGGACCCAAGCGUUAUCCGGAUUUACUGGGCGUAAAGAGUUGCGUAGGUGGUUUGCUAAGUGGAGCGUGAAAGCGUGUGGCUCAACCAUACAGCUGCGUUCUAAACUGGCUUACUUGAGUGCGAGAGAGGUAGAUGGAAUUUCUAGUGUAGGAGUGAAAUCCGUAGAUAUUAGAAGGAACACCGAUGGCGUAGGCAGUCUACUGGCUCGUUACUGACACUAAGGCACGAAAGCGUGGGGA
rnacentral:rRNA from 1 species